GACGAACGCUGGCGGCGUGCUUAACACAUGCAAGUCGAACGGAAAGGCCUCUUUCGGGGGGUACUCGAGUGGCGAACGGGUGAGUAACACGUGAGUAACCUGCCCUUGACUUUGGGAUAACUUCAGGAAACUGGGGCUAAUACCGGAUAGGAGCUCCUGCUGCAUGGUGGGGGUUGGAAAGUUUCGGCGGUUGGGGAUGGACUCGCGGCUUAUCAGCUUGUUGGUGGGGUAGUGGCUUACCAAGGCUUUGACGGGUAGCCGGCCUGAGAGGGUGACCGGCCACAGUGGGACUGAGAUACGGCCCAGACCCCUACGGGAGGCAGCAGGGGGGAAUAUUGCACAAUGGGUGGAAGCCUGAUGCAGCAACGCCGUGUGCGGGAUGACGGCCUUCGGGUUGGAAACCGAUUUCGCUCAUGACGAAGCUUUGUGUGACGGUAGUGGGUAAAGAAGCACCGGCUAACUACGUG
rnacentral:rRNA from 1 species